GGUAUUAUUGUUCUAUGCUAAAGAGUUUAUCAUUCAAAAUUUAGUGUUUUGGCUUGCCAACUUUCAGUUUGAAGCUUCAGCAAGAUAUCAUAUUUGGCUUGGGACUACAAUGCUAUUUUGUGCUACUUUUCAUGUUGUAAGCACCCUGUUCAUUUGGGGGGUCAGCCACCAUAUUCAAGAUAAGAAAUGGCAGCAUACUGGGUGAAUAUAUCUAUAUGGCUUCCUUGUUGAAGCAUAUACUUCAUAGCAAACGGCCAUAAGUAAGUGCAUAUUCGAUAAUUUCAAUUUUUUUCCAAGUUAUUUUCUAUUUUUUUGUUCAACUUUUGAAUAUAGUUUUUCUUUUUUGAUUCAAGAAUUCUUCGUAAGUUUUACCAAGACACACGUUACCAUGUCUCUUAUUUGUGUGAUUGUGUCGAAGUGCUACAUUAUGUGUGAUCUUUUGGAUUAGCUAGGAGUUUUUUGUGGCAAGAAAAAAUUUGUAUUCUUUUUUAUACGGGGUUUUGGUUUUAUGUCUGUUGUAUAAUGUUUCUUUAUGUAAUAAAAUCGGCGUGGUGAUGAGUCACCAAACUUGACUGGGUUCCAAACCCCUAAAACAAAGAAUUUAGAUUAUGACUUUUGUAAGAAUCACUACAUGUCUAUUUAGGCUAGUUGGGCACACACAAAAAAUUUCGCCCUGAGCAUCAAAAAGCUCAGGACUGGCCCUGAGAGAGAGUGUAAUUCCAAGCUAGUCAUGCUCACUCUCUAGUGUUGGCCUCUCCCUCUUUUUUUAACUCUCUUCUUACUUUAAUUUCUUGUAAUUGAUGAAUUUCAUUGUGGGUAUGUUGAUGGAUUGUGAAUAGUUUCUUAGGGCUUGAAACCCUAGCAAUUUUCACCAUGUAAUGACAUUAAUUUUUGGUGCUCAAUGAAAGUGUGUUGUGGUUUUUGUUCAUGACUUUGCAGAAUUUUCAGUGAGAAUUUUGUUAUAGAAAUUAGCCAAUUUUAUGACUAGUUCUUAUCCUUAUCCUGAAAUUCAUUUAAUUAGUGGCUUAAUUAUGAAUGAGCAUGUUGUCAUGAGCAAAUUAUUAAUUUCUAAAAAUUGACUUAAUGCCAUUAUAUGCAUUUUAGUAGCCCUAGUCCGGUUUUAAUGUGUGUGUGAUGAGAAUUUGAAUGCCCUAACCCAGAUUUACAUUAUUUUUGUACUAUGAGAAUGUGAAUGCCCUAGUCCGGAUUUGCAUUAUCACUAUGAGGCCCUAAUUCGGCAUAGAGUUAGGGAUUGCGACCAUUUGCCUUUUGUUAUGUGCCAAAAUUUUGUUGUCAUGGUUAAUGAUUGUUAGAGUGGAUGUCUUAGUGCUCAAUUUCUUCCAUUGUUUUCCAAACCUUUGAAUUUCAAGCACUUUACUUUUUGUAAAUUUUAAUUUUCUAGUUUUUAAUUUACAAAACCAAAAAUCAAUUCCUCCAACUAUAUGCUCACAUUUUUCAUUGUAAGUACCAUAAGGCUUUGAGCCUCCCAAUUUAUUUUGGUGUGUUCUAGGCUACUUUUAGGCUUCGGGAGACCUAAGCCGUAUAUGUGAGGCUUGGUGUCUC
rnacentral:lncRNA from 1 species